rnacentral:rRNA from 1 species
GACGAACGCUGGCGGCGUGCCUAAUACAUGCAAGUAGAACGCUGAAGAGAGGAGCUUGCUCUUCUUGGAUGAGUUGCGAACGGGUGAGUAACGCGUAGGUAACCUGCCUUGUAGCGGGGGAUAAUUAUUGAAAACGAUAGUUAAUACCGCUUACCAAUGGAUGACACAUUUCCUUUAUUUAAAAGGGUCAAUUGCUCCACUCCAAAAUGAACCUCCGUUGUAUUAGCUAGUAGGUGAGGUAAUGGCCCACCUAGGGAACGAUACAUAGCCGACCUGAGAGGGUGAUCGGCCACACUGGGACUGAGACACGGCCCAGACUCCUACGGGAGGCAGCAGUAGGGAAUCUUCGGCAAUGGGGGCAACCCUGACCGAGCAACGCCGCGUGAGUGAAGAAGGUUUUCGGAUCGUAAAGCUCUGUUGUAAGUCAAGAACGGGUGUGAGAGUGGAAAGUUCACACUGUGACGGUAGAUUACCAGAAAGGGACGGCUAACUACGUG